CCUUCAUGAAGCCGGAAUUGCUAGUAAUGGCAGGUCAGCAUACUGCCGUGAAUACGUUCCCGGGCCUUGUACACACCGCCCGUCACACCAUGGGAGUUGGAGAUACCCGAAGCCUGUGAGCUAACAAACGAGGCAGCAGUCGAAGGUAGAAUCAAUGAUUGGGGUGAAGUCGUAACAAGGUACC
rnacentral:rRNA from 1 species